UGCCAAGGCCAAUAGCUGACCAGCAAAGU
rnacentral:piRNA from 1 species